GUCCACGCCCUAAACGAUGUCAACUGGUUGUCGGGGAAGUUAUUCCUUGGUAACGAAGCUAACGCGUGAAGUUGACCGCCUGGGGAGUACGGCCGCAAGGUUAAAACUCAAAGGAAUUGACGGGGACCCGCACAAGCGGUGGAUUAUGUGGAUUAAUUCGAUGCAACGCGAAAAACCUUACCUACCCUUGACUUGUACGGAAGCCCGCAGAGAUGUGGGCGUGCCCGAAAGGGAGCCGUAACACAGGUGCUGCAUGGCUGUCGU
rnacentral:rRNA from 1 species